rnacentral:rRNA from 1 species
GAAGGCUGAAAUUCGCCUUCCAUGAAGUCGGAAUUGCUAGUAAUGGCAGGUCAGCAUACUGCCGUGAAUACGUUCCCGGGCCUUGUACACACCGCCCGUCACACCAUGAGAGUUGGAGAUACCCGAAGCCUAUGAGCUAACUUUUAGAGGCAGUAGUCGAAGGUAGAAUCAAUGAUUGGGGUGAAGUCGUAACAAGGUAAC